AUCACCUAGGACCCUUGUUGAAAUGCAGAUUAUGAUUCAGUGGGCCUGAAAUAUGGUCUGAGAUUCUGCAUUUCUAAUAAGCUCCCAGGUGUGACCAC
rnacentral:pre_miRNA from 1 species